UACAGAGGUGCCAAGCGUUAGGCGGAAUCACUGGGCUUAAAGCGCGUGUAGGUGGGUCGUUAAGUGUCCGCGUGAAAUCCCCCGGCUUAACCUGGGAACUGCGUCUGAUACUGGAGGGCUUGAGUAUGGGAGAGGGAUGUAGAAUUCCAGGUGUAGCGGUGAAAUGCGUAGAUAUCUGGAGGAAUACCGGUGGCGAAGGCGGCAUCCUGGACCAUUACUGACGCUGAGGCGCGAAAGCUAGGGGAGCAACGGG
rnacentral:rRNA from 1 species